rnacentral:rRNA from 1 species
CGCCUCGUGAAUUCAUCUCCGGGGGUAGAGCACUGUUUCGGCAAGGGGGUCAUCCCGACUUACCAACCCGAUGCAAACUGCGAAUACCGGAGAAUGUUAUCACGGGAGACACACGGCGGGUGCUAACGUCCGUCGUGAAGAGGGAAACAACCCAGACCGCCAGCUAAGGUCCCAAAGUCAUGGUUAAGUGGGAAACGAUGUGGGAAGGCCCAGACAGCCAGGAUGUUGGCUUAGAAGCAGCCAUCAUUUAAAGAAAGCGUAAUAGCUCACUGGUCGAGUCGGCCUGCGCGGAAGAUGUAACGGGGCUAAACCAUGCACCGAAGCUGCGGCAGCGACGCUUAUGCGUUGUUGGGUAGGGGAGCGUUCUGUAAGCCUGUGAAGGUGUGCUGUGAGGUAUGCUGGAGGUAUCAGAAGUGCGAAUGCUGACAUAAGUAACGAUAAAGCGGGUGAAAAGCCCGCUCGCCGGAAGACCAAGGGUUCCUGUCCAACGUUAAUCGGGGCAGGGUGAGUCGACCCCUAAGGCGAGGCCGAAAGGCGUAGUCGAUGGGAAACAGGUUAAUAUUCCUGUACUUGGUGUUACUGCGAAGGGGGGACGGAGAAGGCUAUGUUGGCCGGGCGACGGUUGUCCCGGUUUAAGCGUGUAGGCUGGUUUUCCAGGCAAAUCCGGAAAAUCAAGGCCGAGGCGUGAUGACGAGGCACUACGGUGCUGAAGCAACAAAUGCCCUGCUUCCAGGAAAAGCCUCUAAGCAUCAGGUAACAUCAAAUCGUACCCCAAACCGACACAGGUGGUCAGGUAGAGAAUACCAAGGCGCUUGAGAGAACUCGGGUGAAGGAACUAGGCAAAAUGGUGCCGUAACUUCGGGAGAAGGCACGCUGAUACGUAGGUGAAGCGACUUACUCAUGGAGCUGAAAUCAGUCGAAGAUACCAGCUGGCUGCAACUGUUUAUUAAAAACACAGCACUGUGCAAACACGAAAGUGGACGUAUACGGUGUGACGCCUGCCCGGUGCCGGAAGGUUAAUUGAUGGGGUUAGCGCAAGCGAAGCUCUUGAUCGAAGCCCCGGUAAACGGCGGCCGUAACUAUAACGGUCCUAAGGUAGCGAAAUUCCUUGUCGGGUAAGUUCCGACCUGCACGAAUGGCGUAAUGAUGGCCAGGCUGUCUCCACCCGAGACUCAGUGAAAUUGAACUCGCUGUGAAGAUGCAGUGUACCCGCGGCAAGACGGAAAGACCCCGUGAACCUUUACUAUAGCUUGACACUGAACAUUGAGCCUUGAUGUGUAGGAUAGGUGGGAGGCUUUGAAGUGUGGACGCCAGUCUGCAUGGAGCCAACCUUGAAAUACCACCCUUUAAUGUUUGAUGUUCUAACGUGGACCCGUGAUCCGGGUUGCGGACAGUGUCUGGUGGGUAGUUUGACUGGGGCGGUCUCCUCCUAAAGAGUAACGGAGGAGCACGAAGGUUGGCUAAUCCUGGUCGGACAUCAGGAGGUUAGUGCAAUGGCAUAAGCCAGCUUGACUGCGAGCGUGACGGCGCGAGCAGGUGCGAAAGCAGGUCAUAGUGAUCCGGUGGUUCUGAAUGGAAGGGCCAUCGCUCAACGGAUAAAAGGUACUCCGGGGAUAACAGGCUGAUACCGCCCAAGAGUUCAUAUCGACGGCGGUGUUUGGCACCUCGAUGUCGGCUCAUCACAUCCUGGGGCUGAAGUAGGUCCCAAGGGUAUGGCUGUUCGCCAUUUAAAGUGGUACGCGAGCUGGGUUUAGAACGUCGUGAGACAGUUCGGUCCCUAUCUGCCGUGGGCGCUGGAGAACUGAGGGGGGCUGCUCCUAGUACGAGAGGACCGGAGUGGACGCAUCACUGGUGUUCGGGUUGUCAUGCCAAUGGCACUGCCCGGUAGCUAAAUGCGGAAGAGAUAAGUGCUGAAAGCAUCUAAGCACGAAACUUGCCCCGAGAUGAGUUCUCCCUGACCCUUUAAGGGUCCUGAAGGAACGUUGAAGACGACGACGUUGAUAGGCCGGGUGUGUAAGCGCAGCGAUGCGUUGAGCUAACCGGUACUAAUGAACCGUGAGGCUUAACCU